UGCAGUCGAACGGAAGGCCCUUCGGGGUACUCGAGUGGCGAACGGGUGAGUAACACGUGGGUGAUCUGCCCUGCACUUUGGGAUAAGCCUGGGAAACUGGGUCUAAUACCGAAUAUGACCGCAUGCUUCAUGGUGUGUGGUGGAAAGCUUUUGCGGUGUGGGAUGGGCCCGCGGCCUAUCAGCUUGUUGGUGGGGUAAUGGCCUACCAAGGCGACGACGGGUAGCCGGCCUGAGAGGGUGACCGGCCACACUGGGACUGAGAUACGGCCCAGACUCCUACGGGAGGCAGCAGUGGGGAAUAUUGCACAAUGGGCGCAAGCCUGAUGCAGCGACGCCGCGUGAGGGAUGACGGCCUUCGGGUUGUAAACCUCUUUCAAUAGGGACGAAGCGCAAGUGACGGUACCUAUAGAAGAAGGACCGGCCAACUACGUGCCAGCAGCCGCGGUAAUACGUAGGGUCCGAGCGUUGUCCGGAAUUACUGGGCGUAAAGAGCUCGUAGGUGGUUUGUCGCGUUGUUCGUGAAAACUCACAGCUUAACUGUGGG
rnacentral:rRNA from 1 species